AGAGAGAGAGAGAGAGAGAGAGAGAGGGAGAGAGAGAGAGGCCUCAGAAACAUGAGGUAUGCCUACCUGGCAGCCAUAAAAUGCCCAGGUUUAUCAAGUUAUCAUGUCUUUAUCUUCGUAGUUUGCAUGUAAUUUGGUGUUUUCUUUGUUUCAAAUGUUCUUCAGAGCAUGAUUGUCCUAAGCAGCCACAACAGUAGAAGAAACCGACAUGGGUCUAAUCUCAUUGAUCUGGCUAGGUACGAAUUAUUUGAAUUUUGCCCAUCUCCGUGCCUAACGCGGUCAAUUAGGAGAACCUUGAGGGAGAAGGACAAGGCCACAAGCAGGCACAGAAGUUGGAACCAUAUCUAGCUCUGGCUCAGUGAAAGUUGUCACAUGCACGUAUCCCAAAAGCCUAGUAGUGAUGGUGAUGUUAGACUUGCAAAGGUGUAGGAUAUGAUAAAUAAUGAUUACCUCAUUGAUAUCAGCUUCCCUCUUUGCCAUCUAGAGAACGGAGCGGGGAACAGUGUUAGACUGAUAUGACUAGCCAAUGCAGAUGUGAUAUCUUUCCUUAUGUUUUAUUAUUCAGACGUUUUCUUGGAAUCUUCUACAUGUACCGUUGCUAUUGUGAUAGGGCAUCUUCAACUGUGCGGGAGCAUCUUGGCAAAAUUUUUUUUUUUUUCUUUUCUUUUCUCAUCUAAUAUAUAUACCUUUGUGGGAAGUGACAAGUGCAUGCAAAUCAUGACCAAAGAUUAAAAAAUUAGAAGUUAAAAUGUUAUAUAAAAAAGUAAAUAUUGAUGUAUUUCUGCUGGUUACAUACAAAAUCAAGAUAAUAGCAAACAAAAGAAAUAAAACUGCCCAUGACAAACGUACAUACAACUGUCAAUCGGUACAACAUUAAUCAUCAAACUCC
rnacentral:lncRNA from 1 species